AUUUUUUUUUUUCAUGAUGACCAAUAAAAAACAACAGUUGUUACCCCUUAUUUUUUUUUUCAUGACGACCAAAGAAAAACGACAGUGUUACCCCUUAUGUUUUUUUUCAUGAUGACCAAUAAAAAAACUACAGUGUUACCCCUUAUGUUUUUUUCAUGACGAACAAUAAAAAACAACAUUGUUACCCCUUAUGUUUUUUUUCAUGACGACCAAAGAAAAACGACAGUGUUACCCCUUAUGUUUUUUUUCAUGACGACCAAUAAAAAAACAACAGUGUUACCCCUUAUGUUUUUUUCAUGACGAACAAUAAAAA
ensembl:lncRNA